UACGGAGGGUGCAAGCGUUAAUCGGAAUUACUGGGCGUAAAGCGCGCGUAGGCGGUUUGUUAAGUGAGAUGUGAAAGCCCAGGGCUCAACCUUGGAACUGCAUCUGAACUGGCAGACUAGAGUCUUGGAGAGGGGGGUGGAAUUCCAGGUGUAGCGGUGAAAUGCGUAGAGAUCUGGAGGAACAUCAGUGGCGAAGGCGGCCCCUGGCCAAAGACUGACGCUCAUGUGCGAAAGUGUGGGUAGCGAACAGGAUUAGAUACCCCGGUAGUCC
rnacentral:rRNA from 1 species